rnacentral:lncRNA from 1 species
CUAUCUAUUCUACGACAGCAUGAACUAACAAAAAAAAAUGUAGAAACCAAGAACUUCUUAAUUAAUUAAAUACUUUAGAUAUUUUUUGAUUGUUGCCAUACAAGUUUAAUGAUGAUUGGUAUGCGCGGUGCUUCUCAAGUGUUCAGUUCAAAUUUUGUACUAUUACGUAAUUUGAGUUAAGAAGAUAGUCCUUUAUGCUUGAGUUUUAUGGGAUUUGUGGCUGAAAUCUUCCAGAAACUGCUAUUGUAUGUCACUGUGGUAUAAUUUUUAGUAUAGGUUUUGUUAGAUUUGCUUUAUUAGCUGCAGUUUAUAAUAGUACGAGAAAUCCAAUCGCUCACAAUUAUCUUGCCACCAUAUGAAGCAGGGAUCUGGACAUUUGUAGUUAACUUUUUAAUAAUUUGAUAUGUGAAGUGUUUAUCCUAUCUGCACUAUAAUAGCUUUUCCUAGACUAAGAUGAUUGGUCUUCCUUAAUUCCUUAAUUUACUAUCUGCACUAUAAUAGCUUUGUCUAUGUGGAAAGCCUACACUUUUUAGAAUUGAGGUUUCUGAUGCUUCAUAGUAUACUUACUAAACUGCUCGUGCAUGAGUUUUUUGAGGAACAUGCUUUCUUUUUCUUUCUUUCUUUUUUACUCGAUUUCUUUGUAUAAUAAUGAAAUACUUGUUUACUUUUUCUUUCUUUUUUACUCGAUUUCGGUCAAGCUUUAUUAGUUGAAAUGCAUCUCAAUGCAGGAAACAUGGAUAAAGAGGAACAGGGUGUUUACUGUUUUAUUAGCUUCAUUUUUGAUGAAAUAGACAAUAUAUAGCUGUAACUUGUAAACCCUCUCUUUCAGAAUUAGAAUUAUAGUAGGCUCUUACAGUUCUAUGACCCGAAAGAUGUAUAUUUACUCUUCUUUAUGUCCUGUAAUGCAAGAUACUGGUUUCAGUGUUGCUGCAAGUUACUUAAACGAUACUCCUGCUCUGAAGAAGGCUGAUAUUGGAAGUGCCGUUCCUUUUCAGAUCGUCGUUCGUCUGUCCGUCGGCAACUCACGCACACCGCACACGGUAAGCCCUCUCUUUCAGAAUUAGAAUUACAGUAGUCUUUUUCUUAUGUUUUUGGAAUUAGAAUUACAGAUUUGCUUGAAUUUGUUUCGAAUUUUACUCUGUUAUUGUAGUUGGGUACAAGGAAUAUAGCUUAGUUUCAUCUUCUUUGCUAAACUUAAUCAUGUGAAGCUUUUAUUAUUAAAUGAAAUAUAAAGUAUUUUCAUAGGACUAGCA